GACGAACGCUGGCGGCGUGCUUAACACAUGCAAGUCGAACGGAAAGGCCCUGCUUUUGUGGGGUGCUCGAGUGGCGAACGGGUGCGUAACACGUGAGUAACCUGCCCUUGACUUUGGGAUAACUUCAGGAAACUGGGGCUAAUACCGGAUAGGAGCUCCUGCUGCAUGGUGGGGGUUGGAAAGUUUCGGCGGUUGGGGAUGGACUCGCGGCUUAUCGGCUUGUUGGUGGGGUAGUGGGUUACCAAGGCCUUGACGGGUAGCCGGCCUGGGAGGGUGACCUGCCACAUUGGGACGGAGAUACGGCCCAGACGCCGACGGGAGGAAGCAGUGGGGAAUAUUGCACAAUGGGCGGAAGCCUGAUGCAGCAACGCCGCGUGCGGGAGGACGGCCUUCGGUUUGUAAACCGCUUUCGCCUGUGACGAAGCGUGAGUGACGGUAAUGGGUAAAGAAGCACCGGCUAACUACGUG
rnacentral:rRNA from 1 species